rnacentral:misc_RNA from 1 species
CUCGACUUGCUCGCGAAUGCGGUGGGUCAGUUACACAUGAGCUGGCUGACCCACCGCAUUCGCGAGCAAGCCCGC